rnacentral:misc_RNA from 1 species
UCCGGCUUAUCACCGGCAGUCCCCUUAGAGUGCCCAACUGAAUGAUGGCAACUAAGGGCGAGGGUUGCGCUCGUUGCGGGACUUAACCCAACAUCUCACGACACGAGCUGACGACAGCCAUGCAGCACCUGUCUCCGGUCCAGCCGAGCUGAAGGGCUCCAUCUCUGGUGCCCGCGACCGGGAUGUCAAAAGCUGGUAAGGUUCUGCGCGUUGCCUCGAAUUAAACCACACGCUCCGCUGCUUGUGCGGGCCCCCGCCUAUUCCUUUGAGUUUUAACCUUGCGGCCGUAGUCCCCAGGCGGGAUGCUUAAUGCGUUAGCUGCGCCACUGACAGGCAAGCCUGCCAACGGCUAGCAUCCAUCGUUUACGGCGUGGACUAC